CAUGCAAGUCGCACGAAGGUUUCGGCCUUAGUGGCGGACGGGUAAGUAACGCGUANGGAUCUAUCCGUGGGUGGGGGAUAACUCUGGGAAACUGGAGCUAAUACCGCAUGACACCUGAGGGUCAAAGGCGCAAGUCGCCUGCGGAGGAGCCUGCGUUUGAUUAGCUUGUUGGUGGGGUAAUGGCCUACCAAGGCGAUGAUCAAUAGCUGGUCUGAGAGGAUGAUCAGCCACACUGGGACUGAGACACGGCCCAGACUCCUACGGGAGGCAGCAGUAGGGAAUCUUCCACAAUGGACGCAAGUCUGAUGGAGCAACGCCGCGUGAGUGAAGAAGGUUUUCGGAUCGUAAAGCUCUGUUGUUGGUGAAGAAGGAUAGAGGUAGUAACUGGCCUUUAUUUGACGGUAAUCAACCAGAAAGUCACGGCUAACUAC
rnacentral:rRNA from 1 species